GCUGUCCGACUCCUCGUAAUCCACCUCCUCCUCGUCGUACUCGCUGCCUGUGGGGCCAGAGGAGAAACACAAGGGCUGUCAGGACGCCCCGCACGGCGGCGGCUCCUGCUGCCCUGGGAGAGAGCGUCCAGGCGCCAAGGGGCCGCAAGUGCAUCUAGUCCCCGGGACAGUCCUGGGGGCAACAUAUCUGCUUUCCCACGGGAGAGACCAGGGAAAGGGCUUCCCAGCGAUUCAUGGCGAGGAAUGAGCUGUGCAAGAGCUUGGACUCAGUCUUCUGCGGGAAAGGUUUGAUCUUCUUGGGGUACAAGAAUCUGGUGACUAAAAGAAACAGGAGCUGAUGUUGGCCAGUGGAAGAUGCGGGUUCCAAGUUAUUGACCAACUGACCCUUGGCGAGGGUCAUCAGGGCAACAUGAUGCAAGAGAGAUCAAAAUGGCUCCUUUCCCCUGAGCCUUCCAGUUGCUGCUCAAGAUUCAUGGAGACUUAACAUAAAGGUUUCCUGUGGCAACAGGCAACUCUUAAGACCUACUUCCGAUGCAGAAGUGUUUUCAAAUUGCGACUCAUAAGUGGGUCGUGAAAUCAUUUUUGCGGGGCACAAUCAGCAUUUAAAAAAAUAAAAGGACAGAAUGGAAAAGAAAGUAUCAGAGUGUGAGAUGUGUUUGUAACACUUGUUUCAGGUAUGUGUCUCAGCGUAAAAAUCAUUUGGACCACAAGUCACAGGAAGAAAGCAUAAAGCCAUUUUUAACCACCAGCAUCUCAUUUACAGAACUUCUUUCUAAAAGCACCAACAUUUCAUCCAGAGGAAACAAAUCAAACAAUUUGAACCUACAUUUAAAUAGGGUAUAGAACAGGCUGAAACAGAAGAGAAAGGUCGUUUUUGGUGCCUGCCAACAAGGCAUCGUGUCGGCUAGCAGGAACCUACAAUGUAACGGGGAGGCAGGCUGUCAGCAAGCAGACCUCAGGGGCACCAGGAGGGCACACACAGCGUCUCCCGGUGAAAGUGACAGGCACGUAUGAUGGAGAGGAAGUAUGAAGACAGUUCUUCACUGAUUCAGGUGUCCUUUUGGACCAUGACACUUCACAUUUUUUGGGAACAUUCUCCAGGGAAGCCAAUCUUUGUUUGUGGAGUGGGCAAAUCUGCUUCUAAGAAAUGGCCCAAGUCGUUCAGGGCCCUCCUGCUGAAUUACAAAGUUCCUGCAGGGUGCCCUGGACUCUAUUACCAACUGUCAUCAGGUUGCUGAACAGAAUAGGUUCUCAGAGUUUCGAAUCUUGCAGCUGAGCUAAGGAGGGCUGGCCAGCAAGCAGGUGCCUGUGAGGGGCGAGUGGCUGGACCCAGAGAAUCACACCUGCCCGGCGCUGGGAAGGAGCUGCAGGGGAGCCGGGAAGGGGGAGGACUGGGUGUGUCCAAGGCCGGCUGGCAGACUUGUCUUGCCCGUCACCCUCACGUGUCUCCUGGGAGAUUGUCAUCAGAGGGUGGGCUCCUCAGGCUGGGCUGUUCUAACUCCCAGCAGACCCCAGCACCCAGCAUGGCUCAGCCAGUCUUUUUGGGAUGAAGGGACUCCACGGCAGAGGCCCUGUGCACUGGAAGGAUGGAAUCACAUGACAUAAUGCACACAGGUAUCUGUAUGUAACAUACAUAUUUUGUGCUUCGUAAUUACGCUUAUUUAAUACACACUACAAUUUGUAUAUGAUAAAAUGAGAGGAACAAUGAUGACGCCAUUAGGGACCACAGUCUGUGAGAUGCACGCACACAACAGCGCCAUCUCCCAUUAAACCCGAUUAGCACAACCACAGAAACCAGCCGGACCCUGGCCAGAGGCUGUGUGUGAGGCAGGUAAUUCAGGGACUUGGGAGCAGGUGCCUGUAUUAGGAUUCUGGCUCUGCUGUUACCACCUGGUGCCCUUAGACCUGUUAUUCCACCUCUUUACACCUCCAUUUCCUCAUCUGUAAAAUGGAAAAAUAUUAGAGCUAACUUCAUGGGGCUGUUGAGAAGACUGUAUGAUUUAAUAUGUAUAAAGUGCUUAGAUUAAUUUCUGGCACAUAGUUCUGUACUACAUCAACUCUGGAUGGUAUUAUUAUUUUAAUCAGUAAUUUAAAAUUGUCUAGACUUGAAAGAGAUGGCCAGGUAUGGACAAAGCCAGCGAGAAAUCAUCUGGUCAGAGUCAUCUGUCUAAAACGCAUGGACAAAAAUGCCUAAGAUGUAGUUUGCAUUUCUAAUACGAUGGAUGAGGGUACUGAUUUCUAAUGCUGUCCGAAAUAAACAGACUGCCCAUUCAGGCUUAAAAGCCUGAACUUAUUCUUCAUUAAUUCACCCAUAAUACUGGAGACCUGGGGGUGAAAGAGACAAGCAGUCUCUCUGUCUUCAAGGUGUGCAGUGUGACAAGGGCCCCCCAACAGCUCAUCACACCGUGGGUUCCUCCAGUGGGGAAGUGCCCUGCUCUCAAUAAUGUGAAUUCUGGAAGCGAUGGGAGCAGAGGACUGUCUCUUGAAACAAGUGCAGCCUUCGCUGCGAUACAGAGGCGCUUGCCAGGGCUGGGUAUUGGAAUGGUGUUUUCCUUUCUAACUAUAAAUUUAAUGUGCUAUAUGGACAGACAGGAUGGACAUUUUUAUGCCAAGAGGAAGCUCAAAGGGGAGGGCUGGGAAGAGGAGGAGGAUGGAUAUCCAGAAAAAUGAUGCAAUAAUCAAGGUAAGAAGUAACUAGGGUCCGCCAGCAAAAACCGCUUUCUAGGGAAACAGAGUCAUCGUCUCUUUCCACACCCAGCUGAGGACCUGAAAAUGUGCCACCACAGAAAAUAUGUCUCUUCUCUGGGGAAUAAUGUCAUGAGAGUCACUGUAAGUUCACAGAAAUCUCGACGAUCUCCCAUAAAAGCUUUGUUUCACACUUCAUCCCAUGUGGAAACUUUAGCCAGGGCCACAUGAAAAACGAGUUUUAUGAGAGUACUUCUGAUUUGUAAGAAGGCUAUUUGGCUUCUGAACAGGGCAGCUUCCUGAAAGCCCCGGGAAUGGCAUUCUUACAUAUUGCACAUAGCAGGCGGCCUUCAUAACGAUCAGGGCCGCGUUUAGAUCUGGUGAAACGUUACGUGAGUGACAAACCUCGACCAAAGCAAUUGGGAGAAACUGCAGGGCCAAGAAUUUCUUGGUCACAGAGAUUGUCUCAAGCAUGAUAUAAAAAUGAGUCUGA